rnacentral:rRNA from 1 species
UACGUAGGGUGCAAGCGUUGUCCGGAAUUAUUGGGCGUAAAGGGCUCGUAGGCGGUCCAUCACGUCGGGAGUGAAAAGCUGGGGCUUAACCCCAGUCCUGCUUCCGAUACGGGUGGACUAGAGGUAGGCAGGGGAGAACGGAAUUCCUGGUGUAGCGGUGAAAUGCGCAGAUAUCAGGAGGAACACCGGUGGCGAAGGCGCCACUCUGGGCCGAAACUGACGCUGAGGAGCGAAAGCGUGGGUAGCAAACAGG